UCCUAGUUAACCUAGGCAGUCUCAUUAGAGUUCCCACCAUUACGUGCUGGCAACUAAUGACAAGGGUUGCGCUCGUUGCGGGACUUAACCCAACACCUCACGGCACGAGCUGACGACAGCCAUGCAGCACCUGUGCACAGGCCCCGAAGGGAAACAUGAUCUCUCAUGGCGUCCUGUGCAUGUCAAGCCUGGGUAAGGUUCUUCGCGUUGCAUCGAAUUAAACCACAUACUCCACUGCUUGUGCGGGUCCCCGUCAAUUCUUUUGAGUUUCACCCUUGCGAGUGUACUCCUCAGGCGGUAUACUUAUCGCGUUAGCUACGGCACAACUGGGGUUGAGUCCAGCUACACCUAGUAUACAUCGUUUAGGGCAAGGACUAC
rnacentral:misc_RNA from 1 species